AAAAGUUUAGUUAAAAAAUAACAUAAAAUUGUCAAGUUUAAAUUAAUAUUUUAUUAACUUUUA
rnacentral:tRNA from 1 species